rnacentral:misc_RNA from 1 species
UUGCUAUUUCUUACUUGUUCAGUGAAGGCAGAAAGAAAUCAUGUCCCAAAUACUGAAGCGUCUCAAGGUGCCACCAAACUCCGCCAGUUUAGAAGAAGCUCGCACUCGGACCUUUGAAUUCUUCCGUAUGUGCUGUAGAUCCAUCCCUCAUGUAAUGGAAAUCUACAACUUGCACGAUGUCGUUACACCAUCCCAACUCCGUUCUGCCGCCGCCGCCGAAGUUCGCAAGAAUGCCAAUAUUACUAACCCUAAGGUAAUUGACAUGCUGCUGUUCAAGGGCAUGGAAGAGUUGAUGAACAUUGUGAACCAGUCAAAGCAGAGGCACCACAUUGUUGGGCAAUAUGUUGUAGGUAACCAAGGUCUUGUUCAGGACGUCUCAGCCAAAGAUCGGGAUGCAUCCAAUUUCCUGAAAAAAUUCUAUAGCAGCAACUACUCCUAGAUCACCGUAUGAACUAUGCCAUUUGGACAUUUCUGUUGGGUAAAAUUCACAAUAAAGAUGAACAUGUUCUUGCAUCUUACAAUUGGAUGCACAUUUGUCUUUUUUUUUCUCUUUGAGUGGAAAGGAUGCUCCUAGUCAAGAAUCACCAAUUGACAAUUUCCUUUUUUUGAUUGGUAAAGGUGUUCUAUUACUAUACGGUAAGGCUCUGAGAGUAUUUACUAGGGCCACUAAUUGACAAUUAU